CAAGCCGACUUCAGCGCUCUGGACAGGGACCCACAGGAAUCCUGCCUCUGGCAUCAAUGGGGGCUGCCUUCGUGCCUGGCCAGCACAAAGCCCGCCCCAGACAUGUGUCCAGCACCUUCAUGUUGCCUACGAGGGCUGUGUCUGCCACAGAAAAUACAUGCAAAAGAAAACCUCCACACCAGCGCAAAGCAAGAACGCCUCCAGGACACUGAAUGUGGUGGGAGAUCCAGAGGUCAGGAAGCCUGGCCAGGUGUAACCUUGAGGCAUCCUGGGCAAGACGGUUGUGUGCCUGAGGAGGUG